rnacentral:rRNA from 1 species
GGAAGAAAGUGGGGGAUCGAAAGACCUCAUGCUUUUGGAGCGGCCGAUGUCUGAUUAGCUAGUUGGUGAGGUAAUAGCUCACCAAGGCAACGAUCAGUAGUUAGUCUGAGAGGACGACCAGCCACACUGGGACUGAGACACGGCCCAGACUCCUACGGGAGGCAGCAGUGGGGAAUUUUGGACAAUGGGCGCAAGCCUGAUCCAGCAAUGCCGCGUGAGUGAAGAAGGCCUUCGGGUUGUAAGGCUCUUUCAGUUGAGAAGAAAAAAUUCUGGCUAAUAUCUGGAAUUCAUGACGGUAUCAACAGAAGAAGCACCGGCUAACUACGUGCCAGCAGCCGCGGUAAUACGUAGGGUGCGAGCGUUAAUCGGAAUUACUGGGCGUAAAGGGUGCGCAGGUGGUUUUGUAAGUCAGAUGUGAAAUCCCCGGGCUUAACCUGGGAAUUGCGUUUGAAACUACAAAGCUAGA